rnacentral:rRNA from 1 species
AAGUCGUAACAAGGUUUCCGUAGGUGAACCUGCGGAAGGAUCAUUACCGUGGGGCUUCGGCACCAUUGAGAUAGCACCCUUUGUUCAUGAGUACCCUUGUUUCCUCGGUGGGUUCGCCCGCCGGUGGACAUUUAAAACCUUUGUAGUAGCAGUAUCUUCAGUAACAAACAAAUAUUAAAACUUUCAACAACGGAUCUCUUGGUUCUGGCAUCGAUGAAGAACGCAGCGAAAUGCGAUAAGUAGUGUGAAUUGCAGAAUUCAGUGAAUCAUCGAAUCUUUGAACGCACAUUGCGCCCUUCGGUAUUCCGUUGGGCAUGCCUGUUCGAGCGUCAUUUAAACCUUCAAGCUAUGCUUGGUGUUGGGUGUUUGCUCCGCCUCCGCGCGUGGACUCGCCUUAAAUUCAUUGCAGCCGGUAAGUUGGCUUCGUGCGCAGCACAUUGCGUCGCGAUUCUGGCGGACCCCCUUCCAUUAAGCUUCUUUUUUUACUUUGACCUCGGAUCAGGUAGGGAUACCCGCUGAACUUAAGCAUAUCAAUAAGCGGAGGAAAAGAAACCAACAGGGAUUGCCCCAGUAACGGCGAGUGAAGCGGCAAUAGCUCAAAUUUGAAAUCUGGCCCUUUCAGGGUCCGAGUUGUAAUUUGCAGAGGGCGCUUUGGAGUUGGCUGCAGCCUAAGUUCCUUGGAACAGGUCAUCAUAGAGGGUGAGAAUCCCGUAUGUGGUUGCAUGUCUUCGCCGUGUAAAGCCCCUUCGACGAGUCGAGUUGUUUGGAAUGCAGCUCUAAAUGGGAGGUAAAUUUCUUCUAAAGCUAAUAUUGGCCAGAGACCGAUAGCGCACAAGUAGAGUGAUCGAAAGAUGAAAAGCACUUUGGAAAGAGAGUCAAAAAGCACGUGAAAUUGUUGAAAGGGAAGCGCUUGCAGCCAGACGUGCCCGCAGUUGCUCAUCCGGGGUUCUCCCCGGUGCACUCUUCUGUGGGCAGGCCAGCAUCAGUUCAGGCGGUUGGAGAAAGACCUGUGUCAUGUAGCUGUUCUCGGGCAGUGUUAUAGGGCAGGUGGAAUGCAACCAGCUUGAACUGAGGUCCGCGCAUCUGCUAGGAUGCUGGCGUAAUGGCUGUAAGCGGCC